UUUCUUUUCUUUCAUUUUCUUUCAUUUUCUUUCGUUUUCUUUCUUCUUUUUUUGUGACAGGAAAUUCACAGAACUAUUUUUGAAAUCAGACUUUUAGUAUUUUGCUCUUCUGUUUUCUUUCUGUGAUGUCUUGCUAGUUUCCAUUACGCUUGAUUGGCAUUUAAUUUCUAUUUCAAAUACUCAAAUGUUUUAGGACAAAUGCCCUAAAAAAUCUUUGGUACAUUUUGUAUUUGGAAAUCUCUGACUUCAAAUAGUUGCCUUAAAAGAUAAUGUCAUUUCCCAGUGCUCUAUCUUUCUGACUGUGUCAGAGAAGUUGUUUAAAUCCUGCAGAGCAUAUAAUGUUAUCCACACAGUCAAUGAUAGCAGUGAAUAACUUUUUAACUAAAUUUGCUGUUCAUAUUGAUUGCAAAUCUUCAUAUGACUCUGUAGCUCAGUGCUGAAAGGAAUGUUUUUCCACAUACAAGAUAACUUCCACGUACAGGACAAUGAUGCAACUUCUGUUCCUUUUCAUAUAUCCUCUAGGCCUUUUCUUCAGCUAAACAGAUUCAGCCUAUUUCAGAUCUAUUCAAGUCAUCAUUAGUCAGCUAUAACUUUUGUGCUUCCAGUUGUCAAUAGGUCAUUCUGCUCUUUUAUUAUUAUUAUUAUUAGCUGCUGAAGUGCCUUUUUUCAUAAGUGAGAAUUUUCCUGUCGAAUGCUUUUAGAUGAAGGACUCAACCACUUCAUUUACAGCUCAAUUGCAUUUUUAUCACUAUUUCCUUCAUGCCUGGUAUAUUUUCUCUUUUUACUUACUCAGUAUCUGGUACAUAAUAUAUGCAAUCCAAUGAAUUUCAUGGUCUUUUUGAAGCAAUAUAGUAGAAGAGAUUCAUUUUUUUUAAUGUGGGGACUGUGUGCAGUCCAGUUAUUAGACACCUACACUAGACACAUUGAACUGCUACCCUACAGACAUUCAUUCUUCUUGCCAAUUUAAUAUCCUUUUUUCCCCACAGAAUCUCACUUAAGAAUAUUUCAAAAGAACUUCUUCCUUUGAAAGAUCUAAGUUCAUUUUAUCAGAGGUAUGCUUCAGUUCCAGAGUAUCUCCAAAUUGAAGAUCAUGCAUUUUUGAUCAAUCAUUAUGUUUUGAUGCUAGAAGUCUGCUCUGGAUAAGAAGUCAUCUACAUACUUGCCUGUCCCUUUCCUGUAACAUACAGUACUUUUUCUGGUUUCAAGGACCACUUUGAAUAGACUUUGUCUGGAUAGCAUGAUCCGCCUGCGAGCAUAAAGUUUUGAAGCCAAGACAGUGUAGCAUUCAGGUUAUUUCCUUCAAAUGCAGUUUCCUCAUCUAUCAAAUAUAUCCUGAAAGGAAAACUCUGUUUCACAAAUAUUCAAAUGCCCUUAUUAAUUGCCUCUUUCUGAUGUCCUUAAUUUCUUUGGCUACCACUUAGCUGCUAAAUAAGAUUAAAAAAAGAAAAAAGAAAGAAAAAUAAACGAAAAGGAAAGGUUACAAGCAGAGGUGAAAAUUAUAUUCUUUCAUGAUGCUUCCCUCCUUCCUCAUCUGACACUAAGUUUCUUUUAGAUGUGCACGUACAUGGAGAGGGGGAUUAGCAUGCAAAUACAGUUCAAAAGAUUGUUUCAUAUCUUAUCUGUCAUGACUUACAUGUUUGAGUUUGCAUUCAAAAGAAACAAGACUUUUUCUCAAGGGGAGAAGCUAUUGUAGGUAUCACUUAUACAUAGAUGAAAAAAAAAUGUGAGGACAAUACCUGCUUGAUGAUCGGGAAAAGCUUUUCUAUUUGGAAAUAGGUGUUUUCAGAAUUGGAUUGGUCCCAGCAUCAUCAUUUUCUGCUGCUAUGAUUGAGUUGCUGCCAAAGAUUCAAUUUUGAAAAUGUCUCCAUGAAGAACGAAACUACCUAUUUAAAAAGAAAUGAUUCUACUUACAGUUUUGAUGAAACCUUUAAGCAGAAUAAAAACCUUUUUUUUUCCCUUGAGUUUCCAGUUUCUCUGUUUUGUACAACUUCAAAAUGAAAAGCUGUGACCAUGUCAAAGACUUCUCUGAGCAAAAAACUUGUUUGGCUUAAUGCUGUGCCUGAAAUUGCCAGUUCCAGCAGGCAAUUUUCUUAUUGUUUUUAUCAUGCUGCCAAUAUGGAUGCUUUUUUAUUUUAUUAAUAUGAAUAUAUAUCUUUCAGGUAUACAUUUUUGAGAACAUUAAAUUUAUUGCUUUAUAGUUCUGGAUUUUUACCUGAUAUGCACAUUAGACAUAU